CCUACGGGAGGCAGCAGUGGGGAAUUUUCCGCAAUGGGCGAAAGCCUGACGGAGCAACGCCGCGUGAGGGAUGAAGGCCUCUGGGCUGUAAACCUCUUUUAUCAAGGAAGAAGAUCUGACGGUACUUGAUGAAUAAGCCACGGCUAAUUCCGUGCCAGCAGCCGCGGUAAUACGGGAGUGGCAAGCGUUAUCCGGAAUUAUUGGGCGUAAAGCGUCCGCAGGCGGCCCUUCAAGUCUGCUGUUAAAAAGUGGAGCUUAACUCCAUCAUGGCAGUGGAAACUGUUGGGCUUGAGUGUGGUAGGGGCAGAGGGAAUUC
rnacentral:rRNA from 1 species